GAGUUUGAUCCUGGCUCAGGACGAACGCUGGCGGCGUGCUUAACACAUGCAAGUCGAGCGAUGAAGCACCUUCGGGUGUGAAUUAGCGGCGAACGGGUGAGGAACACGUGAGAAAUCUGCCUUCAACACUGGGAUAACUCCGGGAAACCGGGGCUAAUACCGGAUAUGAAAUCUGCGGGCAUCCGCGGAUUUGGAAAGUUUUUCGGUUGAAGAUGAUCUCGCGGCCUAUCAGCUUGUUGGUGAGGUAAUGGCUCACCAAGGCGACGACGGGUAGCCGGCCUGAGAGGGCGACCGGCCACACUGGGACUGAGACACGGCCCAGACUCCUACGGGAGGCAGCAGUGGGGAAUCUUGCGCAAUGGGCGAAAGCCUGACGCAGCAACGCCGCGUGCGGGAUGAAGGCCUUCGGGCUGUAAACCGCUUUCAGCAGGAACGAAAAUGACGGUACCUGCAGAAGAAGGAGCGGCCAACUACGUGCCAGCAGCCGCGGUGACACGUAGGCUCCAAGCGUUGUCCGGAUUUAUUGGGCGUAAAGAGCUCGUAGGCGGUUGAGUAAGUCGGGUGUGAAAACUCUGGGCUUAACCCGGAGACGCCAUCCGAUACUGCUCUGACUAGAGUUCAGGAGGGGAGUGGGGAAUUCCUAGUGUAGCGGUGAAAU
rnacentral:rRNA from 1 species